rnacentral:misc_RNA from 1 species
AACGCACAUUGCGCCCUUUGGUAUUCCAAAGGGCAUGCCUGUUCGAGCGUCAUUUGUACCCUCAAGCUUUGCUUGGUGUUGGGCGUCUUGUCUCUAGCUUUGCUGGAGACUCGCCUUAAAGUAAUUGGCAGCCGGCCUACUGGUUUCGGAGCGCAGCACAAGUCGCACUCUCUAUCAGCCAAGGUCUAGCAUCCAUUAAGCCUUUUUUCAACUUUUGACCUCGGAUCAGGUAGGGAUACCCGCUGAACUUAA